rnacentral:rRNA from 1 species
UCAUCGUGCCAGCCGCCGCGGUAAUACAUAGGUGGCAAGCGUUAUCCGGAUUUAUUGGGCGUAAAGCGUGCGUAGACGGUUUUGCAAGUCCGAGGUUAAAUUUAGGGGCUCAACCCCUAACCACCUUGGAAACUACAUUACUAGAGUAUAGGAGAGGUUAGUGGAAUUUUCAUGUGUAGCGGUGGAAUGCGUAGAUAUAUGAAGGAACACCAGUGGCGAAGGCGGCUAACUGGCCUAUUACUGACGUUGUGGCACGAAAGCGUGGGGAGCAAAUAGGAUUAGAUACCCUAGUAGUCCACGCCGUAAACGAUGAGUACUAAGUGUUGCCAUGAGGCAGUGCUGUAGUUAACGCAUUAAGUACUCCGCCUGAGUAGUAUGCUCGCAAGAGUG